CACUAUAUAUAAAGAGCCGCGGCUCACCAAAGCCACACAGACACAGCAUAGGCAUGGACUGCUCAGAUGAAACCGCAACUCACGCCUUGUGGUGUCCAACUGUUCCUGAAGUCCAAACAGCGCAUUGGGCAUGGUCGCUGUCCGAGGUGCUGAAGGAAAGGGCCAAUUGGAUUCCAGACAGUUUUACCAUUUUUUUCCGGUGGAUAAAUAUAUAUUUUUUGUUGUUUUGUUUUCAAUAACUGUUUUUCAUUUAUUGAUGGACAAAUAUAAGAGAAUAAAAUCUUACACCGCUAGGAAUAAUGAUGAUGAUGAUAGUUCUAAGGGAAUAACAUUUGCUUUGUUGUAUUGACGUAUGAAUCAUUUAUUAAAGAGCCAUCUACAGAUUAUUCUCUUCAGUCUCCAUCCCAGACGCCGCUUUAUUUCCUCUGAUCUCAGUAGUGUGCCAACAACAUUACGAAUAUUUGCUAAACGGUUCUCAUGAAGCCCUGUGCACUGUGAAUGUUUGCAAGUUGGGUAAGAUAUUGAGCAGUAUAAUGAGAUGCCCAUAGCGAUUUCCCUACACGCGCAAAGGCAGCAGAUGUAGGCGUAGUAGUCCCACGGGAUGCGAUCCGGAAUUUCAUCAGCGGUCGGGGUGACCCGAACCUCCUCCAGUUGGGAACUGGGUGGCGGUCGGACAUGGUAAAUCAUCCUUACUACGGAGAAUAGGCCAAUUAUCGGUCUCCUGAAAAUCCAGUGAAUCCAUUAAAAAAAAGUAUGAGCUG